CACCAGCUGACCCCUUGAUAUCUGGCAUUUGGAGAAAGAGCACAUCACAGUCGUCUGUGUGACACCCCCUCGCUGCACGCCAGCACCCAAACCAAGCCACCUCCACCACCGGUCAGAUCAUAUCGCUGAAGAUGUGUACAGUACGCUCCUGCCUGCAUCCUACCAC